GAUGAACGCUAGCGGCAGGCCUAAUACAUGCAAGUCGAGGGGCAGCGCGGUAGCAAUACUGGCGGCGACCGGCGCACGGGUGCGUAACACGUAUGCAACCUACCUUCAACUGGAGGAUAGCCCGGGGAAACUCGGAUUAAUACUCCAUAACACAGGGAUCCCGCAUGGGAAUAUUGUUAAAGCUACGGCGGUUGAAGAUGGGCAUGCGUUCGAUUAGCUAGUUGGUGUAGGUAACGGCUCACCAAGGCUACGAUCGAUAGGGGGUCUGAGAGGAUGAUCCCCCACACUGGUACUGAGAUACGGACCAGGCUCCUACGGGAGGCAGCAGUAGGGAAUAUUGGUCAAUGGGCGCAAGCCUGAACCAGCCAUGCCGCGUGCAGGAAGAAGGCCCUCUGGGUUGUAAACUGCUUUUGAUAGGGACAAAUGCCACUUGCGAGUGGAGCUGAGUGUACCUAUAGAAUAAGCACCGGCUAACUCCGUGCCAGCAGCCGCGG
rnacentral:rRNA from 1 species